CUCAGUGGUGAAGGCUGUGCGGACACUGGGGGCCCGCCAGGGGUUUGGCCCCUUACUCAACCCAACCACGGUCCUCUCCGGCGCAGGCCGAUUUGAGGACCUAGACUCCUUGAUGCUGACGGCCUGAGGGGGCUCCCGGGUGCCGGAUAUCUGACACAGGCCAGGGAGGCUCCCCUGGGAGACCUGGCAGGCCUGGAGGUGUGAGUCGGCUCUGAGCAGCUGCUCUGGGAGAGCCAGUCCACGGAGCCAAAGCUGGAGGGCAGCUGCCGGCCACAAGUUGGGGAGGAGGAGAGACGCAAGGCCGUCAGAUGCUUGUCCUGGAAACCAACCAUGAGCUGUGAUGAAAUCCAGGCAACUGAGUUGUGUUUCAGCCCAAAGCAGCAAAUGGAAUCCAGCUUCAGGACCAUCAUCUGACAUAGGGGAAGAAGACUUACAUAGAAGGCCUAACCAGCACCCAAGAUCAUGCUCAUAGGUGGAGGAGACUUGCUUUGUCUCAGAUGAGACUUUGGACUGUGGACUUUUGAGUUAAUGCUGAAAUGAGUUGAGACUUUGGGGAACUGUUGGGAAGGCAUGAUUGGUUUUAAAUAUGAAUAUAUGAGAUUUGGGAGGGGGUCAGGGGUGGAAUGAUAUGGUUUGGCUCUGUGUCCCCACCCAAAUCUCAUCUUGUAGCUCCCAUAAUCCUCCCAUGUUGUGGGAGGGACCCAGUGGGAGAUGAUUGAAUCAUGAGGGCGGGUCUUUCUCAUGCUGUUCAUGAUCCCAUUCAUGUGAGAAAGACCCAUGUGAUCAUGAAUGGGUCUCACAAGAUCUGAUGGUGUUAAAAAUGGGAGUUUCUCUGCACAAGCUCUCUGCCUGCUGCCAUUCACAAAGGAUGUGACUUGCUUCUCCUUGCCUUCUGCUAUGAUUGUGAGGCCUCCCUAGCCAUGUGGAACUGUGAGUCCAAUUAAACCUCUUUCUUUUGUAAAUUGGCUCAUAGGUGGAGGAGACUUGCUUUGUCUCAGAUGAGACUUUGGACUGUGGACUUUUGAGUUAAUGCUGAAAUGAGUUGAGACUUUGGGGAACUGUUGGGAAGGCAUGAUUGGUUUUAAAUAUGAAUAUAUGAGAUUUGGGAGGGGGUCAGGGGUGGAAUGAUAUGGUUUGGCUCUGUGUCCCCACCCAAAUCUCAUCUUGUAGCUCCCAUAAUCCUCCCAUGUUGUGGGAGGGACCCAGUGGGAGAUGAUUGAAUCAUGAGGGCGGGUCUUUCUCAUGCUGUUCAUGAUCCCAUUCAUGUGAGAAAGACCCAUGUGAUCAUGAAUGGGUCUCACAAGAUCUGAUGGUGUUAAAAAUGGGAGUUUCUCUGCACAAGCUCUCUGCCUGCUGCCAUUCACAAAGGAUGUGACUUGCUUCUCCUUGCCUUCUGCUAUGAUUGUGAGGCCUCCCUAGCCAUGUGGAACUGUGAGUCCAAUUAAACCUCUUUCUUUUGUAAAUUGA
rnacentral:lncRNA from 1 species